rnacentral:tRNA from 1 species
UCCCGUGUGGCUCAGUUGGUAGAGCAUGGUGUUUGCAACGCCAGGGUUGUGAGUUCGAAUCCCACGGGGG